rnacentral:rRNA from 1 species
UAGUCCACGCCGUAAACGAUGUCAACUAGCCGUUGGCUCCAUUUAAGGGGUCAGUGGCGCAGCUAACGCGAUAAGUUGACCGCCUGGGGAGUACGCCGGCAACGGUAAAACUCAAAGGAAUUGACGGGGCCCGCACAAGCGGUGGAGCAUGUGGUUUAAUUCGAUGCAACGCGAGAAACCUUACCAGGUCUUGACAUAUUAGUGACCGUUCUAGAGAUAGUUCUUUCCUUUCGGGGACACUAUUACAGGUGCUGCAUGGUUGUCGUCAGCUCGUGCCGUGAGGUGUUGGGUUAAGUCCCGCAACGAGCGCAACCCCUAUUCUUAGUUGCUAGCAGGUAAUGCUGAGGACUCUAGGAAGACUGCCGGCGUAAGCCGUGAGGAAGGUGGGGACGACGUCAAAUCAUCAUGGCCUUUAUGCCCAGGGGCUACACACGUGCUACAAU